UUGCCCCCCUGGGGGUUACGUCCCCAAGGUUAAAAUUCAAGUGAAUGACGGGGGGCCGCCCCAAGGGGUGGGUCAUUGGGUUUAAUUGGAAGCAACGGGAAGACCCUUCCCUGCCUUUGCCAUUCGAGGACUUUCCAAGAGAUGGAUGGGCGCCUUGGGGAAUUCAGCCCCAGGUGUGCCAGGGCGUUGUUCAGUUGGGUUCUGGGAAUUUUGGGUUAAUUCCGCUAAGGGGGCCAACCCUUUCCCUUAGUUCCCACCCGGUUAGGGGGGGCAUUUAAAGGGGCCUCCGGGGGCCAACCCGGAGGAAGGGGGGGAGGAGGUCAAUUCUUCAUGGCCUUUAGGCCCAGGGUUCCCCACUUGUUCCAAUGUUGGGUCCAAAGGGUUCACACCGCGGGAGGUGAAGCUAUUCCCAUAAAACCGUUUCUAUUCCGGAUGGCAUUUUGCAAUUGGAUUCCGGGAAUUGGGAAUCGUUAUUAUUGCAGAUCAGCAUUGUCGCGGUGAAUACGUUCCCGGGCCUUGUACACACCGCCCGUCACACCAUGGGAGUGGGUUGCUCCAGAAGCAGGUAGU
rnacentral:rRNA from 1 species